rnacentral:rRNA from 1 species
AUUGAACGCUGGCGGCAGGCCUAACACAUGCAAGUCGAACGAGUGGCGGACGGGUGAGGAAUGUCUGGGAAACUGCCUGAUGGAGGGGGAUAACUACUGGAAACGGUAUCUAAUACCGCAUACCAUCAGAUGUGCCCAGAUGGGAUUAGCUAGUUGGUGGGGUAACGGAUCACUAAGGCGACGAUCCCUAGCUGUUCUGAGAGGAGUACCAGCCACACUGGAACGGAGACACGGUCCAGACUCCGACGGGAGGCAGCAGGGGGGAAUAUUGCACAAUGGGAGAAAGCCUGAUGCAGCCAUGCCGCGUGUAUGAAGAAGGCCGUCGGGUUGUAAAGUACUUUCAGCGGGGAGGCGUUACCCGCAGAAGAAGCACCGGCUAACUCCGUGCCAGCAGCCGCGGUAAUUC